ensembl:lncRNA
CGACGGAAUCACUGAGCUAAAUCCCCGGCCCAUCUGUGUAAUCUUUACACUUAGUCAUUCUAAAGGGCCACAAAGUGGCAGAGGUGGAGCCCCCUAGAAUCUCCUGACUUCUCCUGCUACACUCCUCCCUCAGUGCCUCGGACCCACUAGGUAAUCUGAGUUCUGAGGGACUGGGAUCUCAAGGCCAGACCAGCUCACCCCCUACCACAUCCAACCCCUGAACCAUUGCUGGGGAAGAGCAGCCCUGUGGGCCUCAAAGCACAGCUCCACCGUCCACAUUCAGGCAGAAGGAAAAGAAACGCUGCAUUCCAAGCCUCCCUCGGGACCAAGCACGCCUUUGUUCACUCUCUCCCCAGCCACACGCAUAAGCCUUAUGGGUAGGAGACAGUCUCAGCCCUCCCUUGGGAGCAGAGCAGUCACUCAAAGGCAUGCAAAAGGCAAAUUCACUGUACAGAGUGUAUACAGGGAAAUAAAAGCUGCACGGGCUCUGAGUGCUUGAGCAAGGAAGUAUAGCAAAGCAGGAAAGUCCAGACACAAAACCAAACAAAACACCAGGCAUAAAAUAAUCCACUCUCAGGGAGGCAGUUUCCACCUCCUGGGAGGAACACCCAGCGUGCAGUCAGGCAGAGUGGGCAGGCACAUGGGAAACAAUAGGCCUUUCUUUCUCCAGCAGCUGAGCACACACCCAGGAGAAAGGAGCCCCUCUCAGGAAGGCGAAGUCCGAGCCCGGCCCAGAGAGUAUGUGAGGCCAGUUGACAACACAGUACUUGCAUUCAAAUUCCUUCUGAAAAGGGACUCUGAAAUGGAUGUUGCAAGAGGCAACCUGGGGUGGUUUGUCAGAAGGAGCCAAAAAAGUUCCAGGAAUAAGCAGUCCUUGGCCCAGUGGACCAGGCCCGAGACAGGGGGAGGUGCCUCACCCAGAGGCCUGGGUGAUUACAAUGGGUUGGUGGGGCCCCUGGGUGUUCCUGACCCUGCUCCAGGGGCAGAGGUGACAUCCACCCCCUGGCAGUUUUGUCCUCAGAACUGAGUAGGCAGGAAUCCUUCCCAUGCACACAGCGUGACCCAGUGCUGGUCUCCGCUAGGCAGGCCCAGACGGGGGAGGAAUGACAGACCUGUCAUGUGGUUUUGGAGCAGGAGGCAUAGUUCAGUUUCUGGUUGCCACAGUCCCACCCCUGACCUCCACAGGAUUGGACAGGGAGGAAAGGAGCCCCUGGCAGAUUGCCUGGACAUUCCUGAGGCUGUGGAUUCAGCACCUUCCUAAGAGGGCAGCCAUGGGCCUGUCUGCCACCCCACCUUCCUUGAUGCUAGCUGAUUAUGGACUGAAACCUCUACAGACUGUGAGCUAAAUAAACCUUUUCUCCUUUAACUUUGGGUGUUGGGUAUUUUGUCUCAGCAAUGAGAAAAGUAACUAAGAUAGCAGAAUUCUGGGAUUUGGCCCUAGCCACUGCACACCUCUGAAAAUCAGGCCCUUGACUGUCCCUCCAACCCACAUCAUCCUGGAAUAUAGAACAUGGAGCUCACCACCUGCAAUCUCCAGGUAGUACUUGAAUUGCUGAGCAAACACUUGCUAUUGGCAAAAGUACAAAGCUCGGUGCGUCCAACAGGAAAAACUAAACACAGAAGAACAGCAUCAGCUGGGUGGGGUGGGGCACAGGAACUUUGAGGAGACCCUUGUGGCUGUGGCUGAGGUCGAGCUAGGGUGGGUCCUGGUCACAAGGGAUGGAGAGGCGGGGACCGAGGACGGUACACCUCUCAUCCCAUGCCUUGCUAGUGCUGUGCCUCUGGAAGGACUCGGUGCGCAAGCUAACCAUGGAUGUCUCCCUGACAGCCCGCCUUGCAUCCUGUGGCCAGUUGCUGCCACAUUCCCGAGCGAUUCCCCAUGAGACUCCUGGACACCACCUUGUCUGUGCCUGGCUGACGUCUGAACGCACCCGUGGGCACUGAGCACAAAGCUGUCACCAUUUACCUGAUGUAGAGGGAAUAGAUGUAACUUCCAAACCUGCUAGAGUCUCAGUUUUGGAUAUUUGGAUCUCAUAUUUGGAUGCAGCUUCACUCAGUCUCUUCAAAUAAAAGUCUGGGAGAGUAUCUGGCAGUAGGAGUGACUACUGCUUCCUCCGAGUGCAAAGUGGGGCUACUGAAGCACUAAUUGACCCAGGGUCAUCACCGUUCUUACAACUACAGAGCUGACUAAAGAGUCUUAGAGAUGUCCAUCUAAGACCCUCACUUCACAGUUGAAAAACUGAAGCUCAGCCAAACUAGUAUGGUGGUUUAUAACCUUCACUGCUAUAAUUAAUGCAGGUUUUUAAAAAUCCAGGCUCUAUCCUCAGAUAUUCUGAUAUAUGUAGUCUGAGGUAAGACUCAAACAUCAGUGUUACAAAAAAUCUCCUUAGGUGACCUUAAUAUGAAUUAGGGUUGAGAAGCUCUGGUACAGUUGGAAAAAUAUAGGCCUUAUAGUCCUCAAUAUCUG